UGACCUCGGAUCUGGUAGGGAUACCCGCUGAACUUAA
rnacentral:rRNA from 1 species